GUAGGGAAUAUUGCACAAUGGGCGAAAGCCUGAUGCAGCAACGCCGCGUGCGCGAAGAAGGCCUUCGGGUCGUAAAGCGCUUUUCGGGGAGAUGAGCAAGGACAGUAUCCCCGGAAUAAGGCUCGGCUAACUACGUGCCAGCAGCCGCGGUAAAACGUAGGAGCCAAGCGUUAUCCGAAUUCACUGGGCGUAAAGCGCGUGCAGGCGGUUCGGUAAGUUGGAUGUGAAAGCUCCCGGCUCAACUGGGAGAGGACGUUCAAUACUGUCGGACUAGAGGGUGGCAGAGGGAGGUGGAAUUCCCGGUGUAGUGGUGAAAUGCGUAGAUAUCGGGAGGAACACCAGUGGCGAAGGCGGCCUCCUGGGCCACACCUGACGCUCAGACGCGAAAGCUAGGGGAGCGAACGGGAUUAGAAACCCCAGUAGUCC
rnacentral:rRNA from 1 species